rnacentral:rRNA from 1 species
GACGAACGCUGGUGGCGUGCCUAAUACAUGCAAGUCGAGCGAACUUGCGGGAGCUUGCUCCCAAAAGUUAGCGGCGGACGGGUGAGUAACACGUGGGCAACCUGCCUAUAAGACUGGGAUAACUUCGGGAAACCGGAGCUAAUACCGGAUAAUUCUUUUCUACUCAUGUAGGAAAGCUGAAAGAUGGUUUCGGCUAUCACUUAUAGAUGGGCCCGCGGCGCAUUAGCUAGUUGGUGAGGUAACGGCUCACCAAGGCGACGAUGCGUAGCCGACCUGAGAGGGUGAUCGGCCACACUGGGACUGAGACACGGCCCAGACUCCUACGGGAGGCAGCAGUAGGGAAUCUUCCGCAAUGGACGAAAGUCUGACGGAGCAACGCCGCGUGAGUGAUGAAGGUUUUCGGAUCGUAAAACUCUGUUGUUAGGGAAGAACAAGUACUAGAGUAACUGCUAGUACCUUGACGGUACCUAACCAGAAAGCCACGGCUAACUACGUGCCAGCCGCCGCUGUAA